rnacentral:rRNA from 1 species
UACAGAGGUCUCAAGCGUUGUUCGGAUUCAUUGGGCGUAAAGGGUGUGUAGGUGGCGCGCUAAGUCGGGUGUGAAAUUUCGGAGCUUAACUCCGAAACUGCAUUCGAUACUGGCGUGCUUGAGGACUGGAGAGGAGACUGGAAUUCAUGGUGUAGCGGUGAAAUGCGUAGAGAUCAUGAGGAAGACCAGUGGCGAAGGCGGGUCUCUGGACAGUUCCUGACACUGAGACACGAAGGCCAGGGGAGCAAACGGG